AAUGAACGCUGGCGGCAGGCCUAACACAUGCAAGUCGAGGGGUAGCAGGAUUAAGCUUGCUUAAUUGCUGACGACCGGCGCACGGGUGCGCAACGCGUAUGCAACCUACCUUAUACUGGGGUAUAGCCCGGAGAAAUUCGGAUUAAUCCCCCAUAGUACUAAUGAAUCGCAUGGUUUAUUAGUUAAAGCAUUGCGGUAUAAGAUGGGCAUGCGUCCUAUUAGCUAGAUGGUGAGGUAACGGCUCACCAUGGCUACGAUAGGUAGGGGGCCUGAGAGGGUGGUCCCCCACACUGGUACUGAGACACGGACCAGACUCCUACGGGAGGCAGCAGUGAGGAAUAUUGGUCAAUGGGCGCAAGCCUGAACCAGCCAUGUCGCGUGCAGGAAGAAUGCCCUAUGGGUUGUAAACUGCUUUUAUUUGGGAAUAAACCUCUUUACGUGUAGAGAGCUGAAGGUACCAAAUGAAUAAGCACCGGCUAACUCCGUGCCAGCCGCCGCAGUAA
rnacentral:rRNA from 1 species